CAUCCUGAUCUGCCUCUUCUGGGUCAUGACAGGGCAGAGUGGGGGAAGGGGCCAAGACAUUGAGAAUGGAAGGCACGAUUGAGCUUCCUAUGGCAGCUUCGGCUCCAAACUGCUGGUGACCUUGACCAAACUGUCAAAGCUUUCUGGGCCUCAGCAUCCCCAUCUUUCAGGAAGGGACACCCAAAUCAUUCCUGCCGUCUUCCCACUUUCCCGGGGUGUUGAGAGGCUAAGCUGGGCCUACCUUCAUCGAUGAUAGUUCACCGUGUGCCCCGGGGUCAUAUGGCUCAUAACAUGAUGAUGGGGCUCAGCCUGGAUCAACCACGUGCCCAGAGCAGCCCACCGGGAGGGGAGGACAGAACGCGAGGUGCCAGUGAGCAUGAGGCCCACCCCCUCUCCGGCACUGAGAGGAAGUUAUGCCAUUUGUGAGGACACACAAGCUGCCUAUGGAGACAUCCACAUGAGGAGUGGCUGAGGCUUCCAGCUGAGAACCAGAGAGGAACUGGGGCUACCUGCCAAAAGCCAUGUGAACGAGCCAUCCUGGUAAAUGCCCAGCACUAUGCAAGCCUUCAGAUGACAAGAGCCUCAGCCAACAUCCCAACUCUAACUACGCGAAAGACUCUGAACAAAACCACCCAGCUGAGAUGCUUUUGGA